rnacentral:misc_RNA from 1 species
AACAGAACCCCCAAGCGUUACCCGGAUUCAUUGGGCGUAAAGCGUCUGUAGCCGGUUUAGCAAGUCUCAGGUUAAAUCUCGAGAGCUCAACUUUCGAACUGCCUGGGAAACUGCUGAACUAGAGGGUGUUAGGGGCUGAUGGAACUCUUGGUGGAGGGGUGAAAUCCGUUGAUAUCAAGAGGAACACCAAAAGCGAAGGCAUUCAGCUGGGGCAACCCUGACGGUGAGAGACGAAAGCGUGGGGAGCGAAAAGG